GGGACGAACGCUGGCGGCGUGCUUAACACAUGCAAGUCGAGCGGAAAGGCCCUUCGGGGUACUCGAGCGGCGAACGGGUGAGUAACACGUGAGUAAUCUGCCCAUCGCUUCAGGAUAGCCAUCGGAAACGGUGAUUAAUACUGGAUAUGACAUUCCUUCGCAUGUUGGGGUGUGGAAAGUUUUUUCGGCGGUGGAUGUGCUCGCGGCCUAUCAGCUUGUUGGUGGGGUAAUGGCCUACCAAGGCUUUGACGGGUAGCCGGCCUGAGAGGGUGACCGGCCACACUGGGACUGAGACACGGCCCAGACUCCUACGGGAGGCAGCAGGUGGGGAAUAUUGGACAAGUGGGCGGAAGCCUGAUCCAGCAACGCCGCGUGAGGGAUGACGGCCGUUCGGGUUAGUAAACCUUCUUCAGCACAGACGAAGUCGUUGUCGUUUUUUGGGUAGUAGU
rnacentral:rRNA from 1 species